rnacentral:rRNA from 1 species
UUGCUUCUUUGCUGACGAGCGGCGGACGGGUGAGUAAUACUUGGGAACUUGCCUCUGGGCGGGGGACAACCACUGGAAACGGUGGCUAAUACCGCAUAAUGUCUACGGACCAAAGUGGGGGACCUUCGGGCCUCACACCUAGAGAUGGGCCCAAGUGGGAUUAGCUAGUUGGUGAGGUAAAGGCUCACCGGGCGAAAUCCCUAGCUGUUCUGAGAGGAUGAUCACCACCUGGGACUGAACACGGCCCAAACUCCUACGGGAGGCAGCAUGGGGAAUAUUGCACAAUGGGCGCAAGCCUGAUGCACCAUGCCGCGUGUGUGAAGAAGGCCUUCGGGUUGUAAGCACUUUCAUGGUGAGGAAGGUCAUGUUUAUAGUUGCUGAUUGACGUUAGCCACAGAAGAACCACCGGCUAACUCC